rnacentral:sRNA from 1 species
UAAUUCGAUGAUGGCAGCACGUAAUUUU